AACACUGAAGGCAAAGUUGAAACACAGAGGGAGCUAAAACCCUAAAACCAUGAGACGAGCUCUUUCUUCUUUGUGCUCUCGCAAUUUCCACAUCUCUCAAAACUUCAAAUCAAAUCUGAAUUAUAUCAACAGCAGCAGCAGUAAAGUCAUACACUCCCCAGUUGUUUCUCAUUUCCCUUCAAAGUUUAGAUUCUUCUCAUUAUCAGAAAAUGAUUCAUCGAAUCAGAACGCAUCUGAACCAAGCCCUCAGCCCGAGACUAACUUGGCCGAACCCACAAAGAAAGAGGUCUCUCUCAAUGUUGAAGAUAUCAACAAUAAAGAGUUGAAGACGCGGAUUGAGGAGUACUUCAACAAAGGCAAUGAAGAGGCGCUUCCGUCAAUUCUUGAAGCAAUAUUAAAGAGGAAAUUGACGAGAAAGCAUGAGCAUACAGAUGAUGAGUUAAUGGAGGAGCUUCAAAUGAAACCCCUGGAUGAUGUAAAUGACCAAGAGUUUGAAUCAGAUUUCGAGGAUGCUCACUCCACUGAUGAAGAGAUUGAAGAUUUGUAUGACACAACGGAUUUAGUGAAAAGGAGAAUGGCGUCUGAUCAAUUCUUCAACAUGGAUGACAGAAAGUGGGAUGAUAUGAUAAAAGAGGCUACCGAGCAUGGGUAUCUUAGGGAUACGAAGGAGUGUGAGGAAAUUUUGCAGGAGAUGCUUAGCUGGGAUAAAAUUCUACCUGACGAAAUUAAGAAGAAGGUGGAAGUUAAGUUUGAUGAGAUAGGUGAAAGGGUUGAAAAAGGUGAGAUUACCCCUGAAGAAGGCUAUGCAUUGUUCAAGGAGUUCGAGGAUGGGGUGGUCAUGGAGUGCGCAAAACUGAUAGAGAAGGAUGCUCCACAGUUUGACGAGACUAUUUUGCCAGAUAAGAAUAAGAAUUUGGAUGACCCGCCAGGCGAAGGGCCAGUUCUUAGAUGGCAAACAAGGGUGGUCUUUGCUCCUGGUGGUGAUGCAUGGCAUCCAAAAAACAGGAAAGUCAAAUUGGCUGUUACGGUGAAGGAGUUGGGUCUGUCAAAGCAUCAAUUUCGUCGCUUAAGAGAAUUGGUUGGAAACCGCUAUCAUCCUGGGAGAGACGAGCUUACCAUAACCAGUGAAAGAUUUGAACACCGUGAGGAGAAUAGAAAGGACUGCCUGAGGACUCUAUUUGGUCUCAUUGAAGAGGCUGGAAAGGCUAACAAAUUGGUAGAGGAUGUUCGAACUUCAUAUGUGAAGCAGAGGCUCAAAGCAAAUCCUGCAUUCAUGGAAAGGCUGCGUGCAAAAACCAUGAAAUUAAAAGAAUCUAGCUUGCUGCAUGCAUGACAUAAGCUCUUUCCAGCUGGCAUUUUCUUGUAGAAGAUAAAUGGAAGGUUAUUGAUGUGCCUUCUCUUUGGCAUUUCAAAAUGUUUUUCCACAUUCACAGUUAAUACAGGUCGUGCACUUGGGAAUAAUGGAAUUCUUACUGCUACUAGAGGGUAUCCAGUAGACGGAUCACCUUUCUCAGUUUCAAGAUACAAGUUGAGUGGGAGAUCAGAGAACAAGGUUUUAUUAAUUACUUGUAGACGGGUGUGGUAUCUCUGGUGCUGAUGGAAUGAUCAUUGAUGCAAUGACUAUCCUUUCUGCAUUAUAUGUGGUGUCACUGUAGAACUUGAAAAUGAAUUGUCAUUUGUUUUCUGAGUAACUUGUAUUUUAGAAGCCCAUCUGCUUAAAUCAUGUCUGCAACCAGCUACUAUAUGGUGCUGGAGAGAUACAUGAUGCAAUAGAACCAUUUUUUUCACUCACAAGAUUACCAAUCAAAUGUAGUGUGUUUCCCAGUCUUCAGCCUAAGCCACUGAUCUGUCAACUGCUGUACUGAUAUUGUCUUUUUUGGCUAAUGGUAGUGUUCGAUUUAGCU